AUACAGAGGGUGCGAGCGUUAAUCGGAAUUACUGGGCGUAAAGCGCGCGUAGGCGGCUUGGUCAGUCGGAUGUGAAAGCCCCGGGCUCAACCUGGGAAUUGCAUUCGAUACUGCCAGGCUAGAGUAUGCUAGAGGGAAGUGGAAUUCCGGGUGUAGCGGUGAAAUGCGUAGAUAUCCGGAGGAACACCAGUGGCGAAGGCGGCUUCCUGGACCAAUACUGACGCUGAGGUGCGAAAGCGUGGGGAGCAAACGCGAUUAGAAACCCCAGAGUCC
rnacentral:rRNA from 1 species